rnacentral:sRNA from 1 species
CGACCGUCGAACACGUGACAGAAUGCUGCCGCGGAGGCGCUUGCCGCCUCCUCGGCCCCGCCGGCCUCCUCCCUCUCGCCCUUCCGGGCGCGUUGGUUGCUGGCCGGAAYACGGCGCGGGAUGACGCCAAGGAACACGGUAAAGCUGAGGCGCCGGCGAGCCGCUCGAGGUCUCCGUCGGUUGCCAAGGCCAACAGAAAAAAAAAUAUGACUCUCGGCAACGGAUAUCUCGGCUCUCGCAUCGAUGAAGAACGUAGCGAAAUGCGAUACGUGGUGUGAAUUGCAGAAUCCCGUGAACCAUCGAGUCUUUGAACGCAAGUUGCGCCCGAGGGACCCUCCCGAGGGCACGCCUGCCUCAUGGGCGUUAGAAGCCCAUCCACGCUCGGUUGCCUAACUAACGGCAGAGAUGCGGACAUUGGCCCUCCGAACCGCGAGGCGCGGUGGGCCUAAGUGUGCGGCCGUCGUACGUGGCCGGGAGCGGCGAGUGGUGGGCUACUGCGCACGYCGCCCCGAGCCCCGUACCGACGCAGGGCCUUGUACGACCCCCUAACGAGGAGCAAGCCGCUGCGGCUCCGGCUGCGCGGCGCCUUCGGACCGAUACCCCAGGUCA